CAAUGUUGUAAUUACGUUGAAAUUUGUUUUAAUUGGAUUUCACUACUGAUUUGGUAUUCACCCGUAGUGGAAUCCCUUAACUUAGAAUGUAUAGCGCAGAGUAUGUUCAUUUGUUCAUAAUUCAUUCAUUCCCAAUUCCCUUAACAACGUUUCGCGCAGAACCCUAAAAAGUUUCUCUUCCUUUCUCUGCAAAAUAUUUUUCCAACCACUCUGUCUCACUCUCAAAUCACCAUCACGCGGUUCGUUCUAGAUUCGAGAUCUGUGUGGCGGUGUUGCUCGCGGAAAUCUUUGCUUCAUAUUUGAGCAGCAGAGUCGCGAUUGUUGCACCAGUGGAGGUGUUGUUGUGAAAGAUGUCGGUGGAGGUGUCAGGCGGCGAGAACGCUGACGUAUUUGAUUGCGGAUCUAAUGUUUCUGUUGUUGUGUUUGCGCAGCUUCAAGCCGUUCCGGAUCUUUUGAGGUUCAUCUUUUCUAGUAAGGCUUGGCGUUCCAAAGAAUAAAAAGCAUUAACAUAGAACUGAUAGAGUAAUGAACUGUAAGAAAGCAAUCUACAAAGGCUGAGAGUUGGUCAGCAGGGCACAAGGGGAUUCAAGAACUUGAACUUGCAUUGUUAUUUUCAAGAAGUUUCAGGAUUUUUGACUUAAAAGGAUAAGCCAAAAUAUAUAGUCACAAACAACUAAAAACAUAUAUUACUAACUCAAGGUUCAUUUGUAUAUAUUAUAAAACAAUCAUGUGCAUAAUACCUUGUGGUGCUGUGUUUUAGAUGCAAAUGCAAAACUUUCAAAUUUGAUGAACUGGAGUUGUGCCUUGGGUUAUGGCGUGGGAUCAGGCAGCCCUUUGAGCCCGUCUUUCAAUUUCAGUCUUGAGCUUGUCAAAAGCUCUCAGUUUGUUGCCUCCUUCUAUCAGCAUAUGGUUGUUCAAAGACGGGUGAAGAACCCCCUUGAAGAGAAUACUGUUGUUGGAAUUACAAACUACAUUGACUUUGGGUUUGAGUUACAAACAAGUGUUGAUGAUGCGAUAGCAGCAAACAGUAUCUCAGACUCCACUUUUCAAAUAGGUGCAUCCUGGCAAGCCAAUAAGAACUUCUUGCUGAAGGCAAAAGUUGGACCUAAAAGCUCAACAAUGGCUCUUGCAUUCAAGUCAUGGUGGAAACCUUCUUUCACAUUCAACAUUUCAGGUGACAAUAGAUGGAUUUUUUUCUGCAAUCUUGCUACGUUGCUUUUAUUUUGUCUUUAACCCUCUGGUUCGGUAAACCAGAGUUGGCCAUAAUAUAAGUAGUCUGGUUAAGGAUUGUUAAAGCCAGUGAUUGAACUUGGAUUUUCUGUUCUUUCUUUAUUGGGGCUUUUCAUAUCCUUUUGCAUCUGUGCCUGGACACAGUGGGGGUAGGGGCUAGGAAGAAUGCUUUCUGUUUUCUCCCUCGAGCAUUUCUGUUUUCUAAGAAUCAUUCAUUCUGUUUUUAUCUUGGGCACUACUAACUUAUUAAGUUUUCAUUUUACUACUUCCCCUGACCAAGAUGCUGGACAUUUUGAUGGCUUACCGAGAGAAAUGAGACCUCUUGACAAAAUUUUGUAAUUUCUUAUAGAUGCACAUUUCGCCGAUAAAUGAAAAUGCUUUCAGAAGAUUGCAGUCUAGUAACUCUAGUUCACUGCAUUUGAAUCACUACUCAAGUUUAAGUGAAAGACUAUCAAUAGUCAAUACCAUGUCAUGAAGCAGUCAAAGCUGAACGAAUCACAAAGACUGGGGACAGUUACCACUAUUUCAUGUUUUGUAGCACUUGGAAUUGGAGGUGGUAUUAAUGGGCUCUCUGCUUGUUCCCUCUCCUCAAAGAUGCUGGUGCUUUGUGGCUUUAGAUGAUUUUGAAUUUAGUUUCUUAGUCAUUAGACUUGGAAUUAAUUAGUGAUAACGUUAAGCACUGACUUUUAAUGUGUUGCAUGUAACUUGUUAGCUUGUUAGGAAUUGACAAUGACUUGUGGAAAAUAAUAUUCGGAAUUAUGU